rnacentral:rRNA from 1 species
CAGCUCGUGUCGUGAGAUGUUGGGUUAAGUCCCGCAACGAGCGCAACCCUUGUCAUUAGUUGCUACAUUUAGUUGGGCACUCUAAUGAGACUGCCGGUGACAAACCGGAGGAAGGUGGGGAUGACGUCAAGUCCUCAUGGCCCUUAUAGGUAGGGCUACACACGUCAUACAAUGGAUGGUACAAAGGGUCGCCAACCCGCGAGGGGGAGCCAAUCCCAUAAAGCCAUUCGUAGUCCGGAUCGCAGUCUGCAACUCGACUGCGUGAAGUCGGAAUCGCUAGUAAUCGUGGAUCAGAAUGUCACGGUGAAUACGUUCCCGGGUCUUGUACACACCGCCCGUCACACCAUGGGAGCGGGUUCUGCCAGAAGUAGUUAGCCUAACCUGCAAAGGAGGGCGAUUACCACGGCAGGGUUCGUGACUGGGGUGAAGUCGUAACAAGGUAACC